rnacentral:rRNA from 1 species
CCUACGGGAGGCAGCAGUGGGGAAUAUUGGGCAAUGGAGGAAACUCUGACCCAGCAACGCCGCGUGCAUGAUGAAGGUCCUCGGAUUGUAAAGGUCUUUUCUAAGGGAAGAAGAAAGUGACGGUACCUUAGGAAUAAGCCUCGGCUAACUACGUGCAGGCAGCCGCGGUAAUACGUAGGAGGCGGGCGUUAUCCGGAAUGACUGGGCGUAAGGGGUGCGUAGGUGGUUUGGCAAGUUAGUAGCGUAACUCCGAGGUUGAACCUUGGAACUUCUUCUAAAACUGUUGGACUUGAGUGCAGGAGCGGCAGGCGGAAUGUCUGGUGUAGCGGUGAAAUGCGUAGAUAUCAUGAAGAACACCGAUGGCGAAGGCAGGUUGCCAGACUGUAACUGACGCUGAGGCACGAAAGCGUGGGGAGCAAACAGGAUUAGAUACCCCUGUAGUC